rnacentral:rRNA from 1 species
GAGAAGAAUAAGUGAUAGAGUAACUGUUAUCACCUUGACGGUAUCUAACCAGAAAGCCACGGCUAACUACGUGCCAGCAGCCGCGGUAAUACGUAGGUGGCAAGCGUUGUCCGGAUUUAUUGGGCGUAAAGCGAGCGCAGGCGGUCUUUUAAGUCUGAUGUGAAAGCCCUCGGCUCAACCGAGGAAGGUCAUUGGAAACUGGAGGACUUGAGUGCAGAAGAGGAGAGUGGAAUUCCAUGUGUAGCGGUGAAAUGCGUAGAUAUAUGGAGGAACACCAGUGGCGAAGGCGACUCUCUGGUCUGUAACUGACGCUGA